UACAGAGGUCUCAAGCGUUGUUCGGAUUCAUUGGGCGUAAAGGGUGCGUAGGCGGGCUCGUCAGUCGGGGGUGAAAUCCCACGGCCCAACCGUGGAAGUGCCUCCGAUACUGCGGACCUAGAGGGGGAUAGGGGCGUGCGGAACUUCCGGCGGAGCGGUGAAAUGCGUAGAUAUCGGAAGGAACACCGGUGGCGAAAGCGGCGCGCUGGAUCCCUACUGACGCUGAGGAGCGAAAGCCAGGGGAGCAAACGGG
rnacentral:rRNA from 1 species